UACGGAGGGUGCAAGCGUUAUCCGGAUUCACUGGGUUUAAAGGGUGCGUAGGUGGGCAGGUAAGUCAGUGGUGAAAUCUCCGGGCUUAACCCGGAACUGCCAUUGAUACUAUCUGUCUUGAAUACCGUGGAGGUGAGCGGAAUAUGUCAUGUAGCGGUGAAAUGCUUAGAUAUGACAUAGAACACCAAUUGCGAAGGCAGCUCACUACACGAAUAUUGACACUGAGGCACGAAAGCGUGGGGAUCAAACAGG
rnacentral:rRNA from 1 species